rnacentral:lncRNA from 1 species
UCCUAUUUUAAAAGGGGAAGCCAAAUGGGUUUGGGUGGUGUUCGAAAGGCCAUGUGGCACGCUGAGAGUGGCACACGGGUACGAGUAUGGAUUGUGCCUUUUGUGAAAAAAUCAUACCAUUUUGUGUUUCUAAUGAACGAUUCAGAUUAUAGCUCCUCCUUUUCUUUAUUUGCUUAAUUUGUUUUCUAGAUGCCAAAUUGAACUCUAGUGUUUCUUUGUGAGUUUUAGGGAGAUGCACUCUCCUUUCUCUCUUGGAGGUAUUCAUCGAUGGAUGAGCUCGUGUUGGUGGUCAUGGUGGCACUAAUUUGCCUUUCUCUUCCACAUUUCUCUUGCUGUAAUUGAGUGCCGAUGAUAGGGAUGACAAAGAGAUGGUGGUUCUCGAUGAAGAUGCACUACUCGUCAAUUGUGAUGACGGAGAGGGAGAAGAUGUCAUGUCCUAUUUUUUUCUGAUUUUUUUGCUUAUGAAGGUGUUAUAUGUGAAGUAAGAAUGGUGAGUGGAUAAGAAUAUUUGUCCAGCAAAGAGAUUUGUAACAGGAACAUGAGGUUGUAAUGGUUUUGAGAGAGUGAUUGAGAUGGAGUAAUAGGAAGUUGAUGUGAGUGUAGAUAAUGUGAUUGUAAAGGUGGUUGAUUAAAAGAAAGAUAUGGUGAGUAACAUGGUUGUCGUGGUGGUUCUAGUCGUGGGUGUGUUGGCCAAUAUAGAAAUGAUCGAAAAUGAGACUAGGGCUAUGAGAUAUGAUGAG